rnacentral:misc_RNA from 1 species
GAAAUGCGAUAAGUAAUGUGAAUUGCAGAAUUCAGCGAAUCAUCGAAUCUUUGAACGCACCUUGCGCUCCUUGGUAUUCCUUGGAGCAUGCCUGUUUGAGUAUCAUGAAAUCUUCAAAGUAAAUCUUUUGUUAACUCAAUUGGUUUCUACUUUGGUAUUGGAGGUCUUUGCAGCUUCACACCUGCUCCUCUUUGUUCAUUAGCUGGAUCUCAGUGUUAUGCUUGGUUCCACUCGGCGUGAUAAGUUAUCUAUCGCUGAGGACACUGUAAAAGGUGGCCAAGGUAAAUGCAGAUGAACCGCUUCUAAUAGUCCAUUGACUUGGACAAUACUUUUAUUAUCUGAUCUCAAAUCAGGUAGGACUACCCGCUGAACUUAAGC